CAUGUCCUUUUGAAUGUUUAUUUAAGGUCUGACCUGCCCACUGAGUAUUUAAAGGGCCGCGGUAUUUUAACCGUGCUAAGGUAGCAUAAUCAUUUGUCUUUUAAUUAAGGGCUUGAAUGAAUGGUUGGACGAGAUAUUAGCUUUCUUUAAUUCAUAAUUUUGAAUUUAAUUUUUUAGUUAAAAAGCUAAAAAUAAUUUUAAGGGACGAGAAGACCCUAUAGAUCUUUAUAAUUUUAUAAUUUUAUAAUUUAGGGAGUUAAUUAAAUUGGAAUUAAAGUAAUUAUUUUGUUGGGGUGACUAUAGAAUUAAUUGAACUUCUAUUCAAAUUAUUCAUUAAUUAGUGUUUUUUUGAUCCAUUAAUAAUGGUUACAAGAUUAAGUUACCUUAGGGAUAACAGCGUAAUUUUUUCGGAGAGUUCAUAUCGAUGAAGGGGAUUGCGACCUCGAUGUUGGAUUAAAGUAAGUGAAGGGUGUAGUUUUUCUUUAACUAGGUCUGUUCGACCUUUAAAUCUUUACAUGAUCUG
rnacentral:rRNA from 1 species